rnacentral:rRNA from 1 species
AUUGAACGCUGGCGGCAUGCCUUACACAUGCAAGUCGAACGGCAGCACGGGUGCUUGCACCUGGUGGCGAGUGGCGAACGGGUGAGUAAUACAUCGGAACAUGUCCUGUAGUGGGGGAUAGCCCGGCGAAAGCCGGAUUGAUACCGCAUACGAUCCACGGAUGAAAGCGGGGGACCUUCGGGCCUCGCGCUAUAGGGUUGGCCGAUGGCUGAUUAGCUAGUUGGUGGGGUAAAGGCCUACCAAGGCGACGAUCAGUAGCUGGUCUGAGAGGACGACCGGCCACACUGGGACUGAGACACGGCCCAGACUCCUACGGGAGGCAGCAGUGGGGAAUUUUGGACAAUGGGCGAAAGCCUGAUCCAGCAAUGCCGCGUGUGUGAAGAAGGCCUUCGGGUUGUAAAGCACUUUUGUCCGGAAAGAAAUCCUUGACUCUAAUACAGUCGGGGGAUGACGGUACCGGAAGAAUAAGCACCGGCUAACUACGUG